GACGAACGCUGGCGGCGUGCUUAACACAUGCAAGUCGAACGAUGAAACCGGAGCUUGCUCCGGUGGAUUAGUGGCGAACGGGUGAGUAACACGUGAGUAACCUGCCCCUGACUCUGGGAUAAGCGCUGGAAACGGCGUCUAAUACUGGAUAUGUGAUGUGACCGCAUGGUCUGCAUCUGGAAAGAAUUUCGGUUGGGGAUGGGCUCGCGGCCUAUCAGCUUGUUGGUGAGGUAAUGGCUCACCAAGGCGUCGACGGGUAGCCGGCCUGAGAGGGUGACCGGCCACACGGGGACUGAGACACGGCCCAGACUCCUACGGGAGGCAGCAGUGGGGAAUAUUGCACAAUGGGCGGAAGCCUGAUGCAGCAACGCCGCGUGAGGGAUGACGGCCUUCGGGUUGUAAACCUCUUUUAGCAGGGAAGAAGCGAAAGUGACGGUACCUGCAGAAAAAGCACCGGCUAACUACGUGCCAGCCGCCGCCGUAA
rnacentral:rRNA from 1 species